CUCAAGGCAGGUGGAGCUGUGGGAAGUAGCGCCGAUGCCCUGGGUGGCUUCAGCAGACCUCCUGCGAUGUUCCGGAGUCUCACCUGCUGUCCCGAACCCUGUGGCAGGGAGUUGAAGGUCUGUGCUGAACCCAGUGAAAGCCCAGGGACUAGCGGGCAGGGCUGCUCUUUGAGGGCAAACUCAAGGGCAAUACAGACACUCCAGGGACAGAAGAGGGUCAUGCUAAGUUGUGUGUGUGUGUGUAGAGUCCCUUUAAAAAAAUAGGAUCCCAGAUGUAAUUUGCAGUCUCCUAAAAUGCUCAUUAACUCUGGACCAGCCAGAAUGAGGUGAGUGGUGGGCCUUUGUUACUGAUAAUGAAACUAUUGAACCAAAACCCUGAUCUGGACACGUAUUGUAGGCAUUGAUGCAGCCACGCAGAAGAUCCUGGCAUGGGCUGUGUGUGAAGUUAACAGCCUGAUACACCAUUCAAGCUGGGUUAGGGCAUUUGUGGUGGUGGUGGUUGAUUAUGUCAGUUCACGUCUUCCCUUCUCUUUUCAUGGUGUAACCAGAACUCUCUUCUCCCAACAGUUUGAGAAACUUGUAAAGAGCUGAAGAUGAGAGACAGACGACACUUUGCAGCUUUAUAUAGAUCGUUUGCAUUUCCUGUGGGAUUUUGUGUGAAUUUUUGUGCUCUCUGUGGUGCAGGUGAUAAUGGGGGAGGAAAGAGUGGUGACAGAAAUUCAUGUAAAGCAGGAGAACACAUCUGGGGAGAUCUGACCUUUGAAGAGGUGUUGAUGGUAGUGAAAAUGCUGGGUGCUCAGGUUGCUGAAGAAGGAAUUGCUGAUACAAAUGCUUGAAUUUGUAUUUAAAGUGAAAUUUGGGCUUCCCAUUGUUUCUGUUUUUUUUUUAAGUUGACCCAUAUAUCAUUUCCCUGGAUUCAUAAGAUUUUUUAGUACUCUAUUCUGUGAAUGUAUCAGAGGGACUACUGUUCAAUUAUAAUUUUCAUGCUUCUUAUUUCAUUUUCCAUAAUUAAGUGUUAGACUUUCAUACAAUACAUAAUCUCUAAAAUGCUAGUGUUGCAUAGCAAUUUCCUCUUAUGUGGUCUUAAUUUACAGGUUUUUUUAAAAUACCUUUUGCAGUUAAUGUAUUGGCUUAUAUUAUUUUACAGGAUUGCCAGUAGAUAGAAUCCGUGUUCACAGAAGGAAUGUGUUAUAGCUUUCCCAGCAUCUCCAUCAGUCCCCAGGAAAAGCACGUGAAAACAAACGGCCAAAGCAUAUCGACGCUGUGAGAGGGGGAAUCUACUUUGCAGUCCAGGACCACUUGACUACUCCUGUCACUUCACUGCUGCUUUUUUGAGGACAGAUGCAUUAGCUCAAGUGCUGUCAGGUACCGGCCACCACAGCUGUACAGAAAGGAGUGAUGGGACCCAUGCCUGUCCUGAACUGCACUGACACAAGCUGAAGAGAACAGAAUUCGAUUCUGAGAAUCCAGUACCCUGGCAGGUUGGUUAAAUCUGCUUAAGAGCCUCGCGUUCCUUGGGGGUGCUCGGGCUGGGAUCACCCCAUUAGCCAGCAGCCCCAGGGCAGCCUGGUCCAUCCUUCAGCAGAUGGAGCCAUCAGCUGUGAUGGAAGAGGAACAGACGCAGAAUGGUCAAUGACAACAUUUGUGUGUAUGCAAGUAAAGGGUUUAUUCAUUCCUGUUUAAAGUGUUGGGAAUUUAACCAUUAUAAAGGCCUAAUCAGAAGACGGAUUAGAUGUUCAAUCACCCUGUUGCAACCGAGGUAAAAAACAUGCACACACACAUAUAUAUGUGUGUAUAUAUAUGCAUAUGCGCUGAAAUGAGUUCUCCAGUCCCCUAGAGUUUAUUUUAUUUGUAUUGAAAAGUCUUUGUUCAAAAUCUAUUUUGGAAGUGUGGUUAGUACAUUCCCUUCAUGCAUGUGCAUGCAUAUACAUGCACCUAAUUCACGGUUUCCAGCCCCCAGUUCCCAAAUGCUUAGUCCCACUCUACCACUGACAUUAGCUGUAAAAGCCAUAAUGUAAUCCUCAAAAAUCUGGAAAAGUUAAUGUUUCUUUUCAUAGCUUUAAAAGUAAAUCUGUUCACUCUCUCAAAAAGCUAAAAUUUAGCUCCUCAGCAAAGCUGGAAAAGCUGGCUUGUUUUGAAAUCAUGGAAGACAUUUUCUGAAGACAAAAAACUUGUGUCUGAGCUUUGAACUCCAUGAAAUUUACCACAACUUGUAGAAUAUCUCUACCUGGAGUUUUGGUGCAAAGUUUCAUCAAGGAACUGACUAUUAAGCAGCAAUACAUAGGAAAUUACAUAAGCUAUUGCCAGACAAGAUAUUCCAGUGAUACCAUAAAAUCCUUCUCCAGUUACUGCUUUCUUAUCCACUUGGCAUGAAAUGUUGACUUGACUUCUACUUACUAUUAAAAUAAAAACCACAGG